rnacentral:lncRNA from 1 species
UGUGUGUGCAUGUGUGUGUGUGUAAGUCACGCAUGCACACAUGUAUGCUUCUGCACAGGUGUAUGUGUGUGGUUGUAUGCACGUGUGGCUCUGCUCUGCCAUGUAUGCACGUGUGUGGGGUGCAUACAUGUGUGUACACAUGUGUGCAUGUGUGUUGGGGAUGGAAUAAUUCUGUUCAGACAUGAAGCUGCAGGGUUCCCGUGGGCCCCACCAGGCAUCAGUUAUGCUACUUGGCACCUUUUCUUCUACCUGCCCUCCUUGGCAUAGGUGUCCCCUAAGUCCACACACGUGCCCACACAUGUGCAGCCUCAGGCACAUACAAACAAGGAUAUACACACGAGUGGGUGUUUAUGUUGCCUGUAAUGGGGACACACGGCUGUUGAGAGUCUCUCCUGCAGUAGGGGACAUGCUCCUGCCUAUCAGGGUCCCCUCCCUCUCCCAGGCCCCCCAACCAAGGCUGUAC